rnacentral:rRNA from 1 species
CCCUUAGAUGUCCUGGGCCGCACGCGCGUUACACUGAUGCAUUCAACGAGCUUAUAACCUUGGCCGAGAGGCCUGGGCAAUCUUGUUAACGUGCAUCGUGAUAGGGAUAGAUUAUUGAAAUUAUUAAUCUUGAACGAGGAAUUCCUAGUAAACGCAGAUCAUCAAUCUGCAUUGAUUACGUCCCUGCCCUUUGUACACACCGCCCGUCGCACCUACCGAUUGGAUGGUCGGGUGAAGCCUCGGGAUUGUGGUUCUUGCCGCUUUAUUGUGGCGUGACCGCGAGAACUUGUCUAAACCUUAUCAUCUAGAGGAAGGUGAAGUCGUAACA